AGGGGACACCCGCCUUGACAGCCAGAUGAGCCCAAUCAACUCUGACAGUCAAUGGGGUGACAGAUGUUGAAGCCAGA
ensembl:misc_RNA 7SK 7SK RNA